CAGUAGCCGCGGGAAUACGAAGGGGGCUAGCGUUGCUCGGAAUUACUGGGCAUAAAGGGCGCGUAGGCGGACAGCUUAGUCAGAGGUGAAAGCCCAGGGCUCAACCUUGGAACUGCCUUUGAUACUGGCUGUCUUGAGUUCGGGAGGGGUGAGUGGAAUGCCGAGUGUAGAGGUGAAAUUCGUAGAUAUUCGGCGGAACACCAGUGGCGAAGGCGACUCACUGGCCCGAUACUGACGCUGAGGCGCGAAAGCGUGGGGAGCAAACAGGAUUAGAUACCCCCGUAGUCCCUGACUCUUAUAA
rnacentral:rRNA from 1 species